AGCAGCGUGGCGCAGCGGAAGCGUGCUGGGCCCAUAACCCAGAGGUCCUGGAUCGAAAACCAGGCGCUGCUA
rnacentral:tRNA from 1 species